rnacentral:rRNA from 1 species
CAGUCGCCACGGUAAUACGAAGGGUGCAAGCGUUACUCGGAAUUACUGGGCGUAAAGCGUGCGUAGGUGGUGGUUUAAGUCCGUUGUGAAAGCCCUGGGCUCAACCUGGGAAUUGCAGUGGGUACUGGGUCACUAGAGUGUGGUAGAGGAUAGUGGAAUUUCCGGUGUAGCAGUGAAAUGCGUAGAGAUCGGAAGGAACAUCUGUGGCGAAGGCGACUAUCUGGGCCAACACUGACACUGAGGCACGAAAGCGUGGGGAGCAAACAGGAUUAGAUACCCCUGUAGUCCCUGUCUCUUAUAC